rfam:Triticum urartu cultivar G1812 contig17825, whole genome shotgun sequence.
GUAGUACUCCCCCCCUCCGAAAAAGCUUGUCCUCAAAUAGAUGUAUCUAGCAUCAAAUUAGGGCUAAAUACAUCCAUUUGAAAGACAAGCUUUGGACAAGCUUUUUCGGACGGAAGGAGUAGUUC